UCCUGCCAGAGGUCACUGCUAUCGGGGUUCGAUUAAGCCAUGCGAGUCGAGAGGGUUCGGCCCUCGGCGUACUGCUCAGUAACACGUGGAUAACCUGCCCUAGGGAAGGGGAUAACCCCGGGAAACUGGGGAUAAUACCCUAUAGAUUACAGAUGCUGGAAUGCCCUGUAAUCCAAAGUUCCGACGCCCUAGGAUGGAUCUGCGGCCGAUUAGGUUGUUGUUGGGGUAAUGGCCCAACAAGCCCGUAAUCGGUACGGGUUGUGGGAGCGGGCAACCGUGAUAAGGGAACCUCGAGUGCCUGUAAAUGCAGGCUGUNCAGGUGCCUAAAACACACCUGAAGAAAGGGCCGGNCAAGACCGGUGNCAGCCGCCGGGGUAAUACCGGNGGCUCGAGUGGUGGCCGCUUUUAUUCCNCUUAAAGCGUNCGUAGCUGGGUGGUUAAGUCUCUUGGNAAAUCUGGNGGCUUACCCGACAGGNGUCUAAGGGAUACUGGCAAUCUUGGAACCGGGAGAGGUGAGGGGUACUUCGGGGGUAGGAGUGAAAUCCUGUAAUCCUCGAGGGACCACCUGUGGCGAAGGCGCCUCACCAGAACGGCUUCGACAGUGAGGGACGAAAGCUGGGGGAGCAAACCGGAUUAGAUACCCGGGUAGUCCCAGCCGUAAACUAUGCGCGUUAGGUGUAUCGGUGACCACGAGUUACCGAGGUGCCGAAGGGAAACCGUGAAACGUGCCGCCUGGGAAGUACGGUCGCAAGGCUGAAACUUAAAGGAAUUGGCGGGGGAGCACCACAACAGGUGGAGCCUGCGGUUUAAUUGGACUCAACGCCGGGAAGCUCACCGGAUAAGACAGCAGAAUGAUUGCCGGGCUGAAGACUCUGCAUGACUAGCUGAGAGGAGGUGCAUGACCGUCGUCAGUUCGUACUGUGAA
rnacentral:rRNA from 1 species